GACUAACGCUGGCGGCGUGCCUAACACAUGCAAGUCGAGCGGGGUAGCAAUACCCAGCGGCAGACGGGUGAGUAACACGUGGUCAACCUUCCCGAUAGUGGGGGAUAACUAGCCGAAAGGUUAGCUAAUACCGCAUACGAUCUAUGAGGGGCAUCUCUUAUAGAUGAAAGGAGCAAUCCGCUUUCGGACGGGACCGCGUCCCAUUAGCUAGAUGGUGGGGUAAUGGCCUACCAUGGCGACGAUGGGUAGCUGGUUUGAGAGAGCGACCAGCCACACU
rnacentral:rRNA from 1 species